UUUUUUUUCAUCAAACCUAUACAUGUGGGGUAUCUAUGGAUAGGUCUUCAAAAAUGAUAUUGAGGUUUCUAAUAUCAUUUUUUUCUAAACUGAAUAGUUUGCGCGAGAGACACUUCCAAAGUGGUAAAAUGUGUGUCCCCCCCCCCCCGUAACUUCUAAAAUAAGAGAAUGAUAAAACUAAAAAAAAUAUAUGAUGUACAUUACCAUGUAAACUUCCACCGAAAAUUGGUUUGAACGAGAUCUAGUAAGUAGUUUUUUUUUUAUACAACUGAAACUCAAAAAAAAAAAAUUUUUUUCAUCAAAUCCAUACGUGUGGGGUAUCUAUGGAUAGGUCUUCAAAAAUGACAUUGAGGUUUCUAAUAUCAUUUUUUUCUAAACUGAAUAGUUUGCGCGAGAGACACUUCCAAAGUG